rnacentral:pre_miRNA from 1 species
GAGACACCCUUCUAGGGCAGGACUUGCUUCAGUGGGGCUUUGGUGCUCACUGAGUCUGCCUCCUGAGUGUGUCCCU